GCUGGGUGCGGUGGCUCACACCUGUAAUCCCAGCACUUUGGGAGGCUGAGGCAGGUGGAUCACCUGAGGUCAGGAGUUCCAGACCAGCCUGGCCAACAUGGUGAAACCUUGUCUCUA
rnacentral:SRP_RNA from 1 species